rnacentral:rRNA from 1 species
AGAGUUUGAUCAUGGCUCAGGACGAACGCUGGCGGCGCGCCUAACACAUCCCCGCAAGUCGAACGAGAGAGAAGGAGCUUGCUUCUUCGAUCGAGUGGCGAACGGGUGAGUAACGCGUGAGGAACCUGCCUCAAAGAGGGGGACAACAGUUGGAAACGACUGCUAAUACCGCAUAAGCCCACGGGUCGGCAUCGACCUGAGGGAAAAGGAGCAAUCCGCUUUGAGAUGGCCUUGCGUCCGAUUAGCUA